rnacentral:ncRNA from 2 species
AGCAGUACGGGGAGAGCGACCCUGAUGCUGGCAGAAGAGUUUCCCCGUUGAGAAGAUCAGCGGGGAAAUCUCUCUGUGCCUGAAAGGUCUGAAAGCUUUAGACAUUCAGUGCAUCAGGCACAAAUCAAUGUGCCGUCGCGAGCAUAUUUACGCGGAAACCGCAUCGCUCGGGCAGGACCUGUUUCUCCUCGCGGUUCCGUGGCUCCA